GUGCUCGCUUCGGCAGCACAUAUACUAAAAUUGGAACGAUACAGAGAAGAUUAGCAUGGCCCCUAAAAAAAAAAAAAAAAAACCUAAGGGGUCACUACAAUAUAC